UACGUAGGUGGCAAGCGUUGUCCGGAUUUACUGGGCGUAAAGGGAGCGUAGGCGGAUACUUAAGUGGAAUGUGAAAUACCUGGGCUUAACUUGGGUGCUGCAUUCCAAACUGGGUGUCUAGAGUGUUGGAGAGGAAAGUGGAAUUCCUAGUGUAGCGGUGAAAUGCGUAGAGAUUAGGAAGAACACCAGUGGCGAAAGCGGCUUCCUGGACCAGAACUGACGAUCAGGCACGAAAGCCGUGGGGGAGCAAACAAGG
rnacentral:rRNA from 1 species